GCAUAUCAAUAAGCGGAGGAAAAGAAACUAACAAGGAUUCCCCUAGUAACGGCGAGUGAAGAGGGAAGAGCCCAAGAUUGAAAGCUGGCGCCUUCGGCGUCCGCAUUGUAAUCUCAAGAAGUGUUUUCCGCUUCGGACCAAGCCUAAGUCCCUUGGAAAAGGGCAUCAUAGAGGGUGAUAAUCCCGUACAUGGCUUGGAGCGCCCGAGGCUUUGUGAUACGCUUUCUAAGAGUCGAGUUGUUUGGGAAUGCAGCUCAAAAUGGGUGGUAAAUGCCAUCUAAGGCUAAAUAUUGGGGAGAGACCGAUAGCGAACAAGUACAGUGAUGGAAAGAUGAAAAGAACUUUGAAAAGAGAGUUAAACAGUACGUGAAAUUGCCAAAAGGGAAGGGUAGGAGGUCAGAGAUGCGGCCUGGGAUUCAGCCUUGCUUUUUGCUUGGUGUUUUUCCCAGAUUGCAGGCCAACGUCGGUUUUGGGCACUGGAGAAGGGUAGGAGGAACGUGGCACCUCUCGGGGUGUGUUAUAGCCUCCUACUGGAUACAGCGACCGAGACCGAGGACAGCAGCGUACUCGCAAGAGCGGGCCUUCGGGCACCUUUACGCUUAGGGCGUUGGCAUAAUGGCCCUCUACCACCCGUCUUGAAACACGGACC
rnacentral:rRNA from 1 species